rnacentral:rRNA from 1 species
UACAGAGGGUGCGAGCGUUAAUCGGAAUUACUGGGCGUAAGGCGUGCGUAGACGGUUAUUUAAGUCGGGUGUGAAAGCCCCGGGCUCAACCUGGGAAUUGCAUUCGAGACUGAAUAGCUAGGGUACGGUAGAGGGAAGUGGAAUUUCCGGUGUAGCGGUGAAAUGCGUAGAUAUCGGAAGGUACAUCAGUGGCGAAAGCGACUUCCUGGACCAGUACCGACGUUCAGGCACGAAAGCGUGGGGAGCAAACAGG